rnacentral:rRNA from 1 species
UAACAUGAGAGUUUGAUCCUGGCUCAGGAUGAACGCUGGCGGCGUGCCUAACACAUGCAAGUCGAACGAGGUAUUUUGAUUGAAG